CUGUCAGGCUCAAGUCAAAGCUGCAUCCUGUUAUGCAGGAUAGGCUGACCCCAGACCCCAAUUUUAGCCGGGCAUCUGUGUGUCCUGGGUAGCGUCGGCAGGCAUUUUCCCAGGCUACAGUUUCCCAUGGUACAGUUUUCUUGCCUGGUGAUUUUGCAUUCCUCCUAGGCCUACCUAGGUCUGCCUAGGACUGCUAGCCUUGAA